CAGUCGCCGCGGGAAUACGUAGGGUGCGAGCGUUAAACGGAAUUACUGGGCGUAAAGCGUGCGUAGGCGGCUGUGUAAGACAGGUGUCAAACCCCAGGGCUUAACCUGGGAAAUGCGCUUGUGACUGCAAAGCUGGAGUAUGGCAGGGGCAGAUGGAAUUCCAGGUGUAGCAGUGAAAUGCGUAGAGAUCUGGAAGAACACCGACGGCGAAGGCAGCCCCCUGGGCCAAUACUGACGCUCAUGCACGAAAGCUUGGGGAGCAAACAGGAUUAGAUACCCCAGUAGUCCCUGUCUCUUAUAC
rnacentral:rRNA from 1 species